rnacentral:rRNA from 1 species
CCUACGGGAGGCAGCAGUGGGGAAUAUUGCACAAUGGGGGAAACCCUGAUGCAGCAACGCCGCGUGAGUGAGGAAGUAUUUCGGUAUGUAAAGCUCUAUCAGCAGGGAAUAGAAAAGAAGGUACCCGAAGAAAAAGCAUCGGCUAACUCCGUGCCAGCAGCCGCGGUAAUACGGAGGAUGCGAGCGUUAUCCGGAUUUAUUGGGUUUAAAGGGUGCGCAGGCGGGAGAUCAAGUCAGCGGUAAAAUGUCGGGGCUCAACCCCGGCCGGCCGUUGAAACUGGUUUUCUAGAGUUGGAGAGAAGUAUGCGGAAUUCGUGGUGUAGCGGUGAAAUGCAUAGAUAUCACGAAGAACUCCGAUUGCGAAGGCAGCAUACCGGCUCCAUACUGACGCUGAGGCACGAAAGCGUGGGGAUCGAACAGGAUUAGAUACCCUUGUAGUC